CAGGGAGACAACAAAAUGUUUAAUAUUAUUAUUUUGUCACCUUAGGUCGAUCGGUACCUCACGUUCUUGAUUUAUUAAGAAUUUCAUAUCCUAAGUUUUUCUAGGUCACACCCAUUAUUUUUCCUGGGCCAUUAGCUCAGGUGGUUAGAGCGCAUCCCUGAUAAGGGUGAGGUCCCUGGUUCAAGUCCAGGAUGGCCCAUAUCUCUAUGUUGGGGGUAUAGCUCAGCUGGUAGAGCGCCUGCUUUGCAAGCAGGAUGUCAGCGGUUCGAGUCCGCUUACCUCCACUGAUUACCACCUCUUCCAUAAUUGGUAGAAAGGAAAUGUUUUGAGUUGUGAUCAAAUUCUGAACGAAUCUAGCUUCCUAAUGUAAUUAUUAAGAUGCUGGAUUCAUUGAAUUAAUUUCAUUGUUUUCAGAGAACCUUGACAACUGCAUAGAUUAUUUUUAAAGACAAUAAGCAUCUUUAAUGAUGCAGAUUUAUUAUUUUUGCUAAUGCAUUAAUAACAAUUCUAUUAAGCUGAUGCUUCAAUUUUUGAAGUUAUU
rnacentral:tRNA from 1 species